rfam:Flavobacteriaceae bacterium TMED42 16321, whole genome shotgun sequence.
GGCGAGGUAGCUCAGCCGGUUAGAGCGUCGGAUUCAUAACCCGGAGGUCGGGAGUUCAAGUCUCCCUCUCGCUA